rnacentral:tRNA from 1 species
GGAGAGAGAUGGGUGCCUGGUGGCCCCCGCGGUCUUCAAAACCGUUGAGACUCAGCGUUCCUGGGUCUGGUUGGUUCAAUUCCUUCCCUCUCCGCCA